rnacentral:rRNA from 1 species
GAUGAACGCUGGCGGCGUGCCUAAUACAUGCAAGUCGAGCGAACGGACGAGAAGCUUUCUUCUCUGAUGUUAGCGGCGGACGGGUGAGUAACACGUGGAUAACCUACCUAUAAGACUGGGAUAACUUCGGGAAACCGGAGCUAAUACCAGAUAAUAUUUUGAACCGCAUGGUUCAAAAGUGAAAGACGGUCUUGCUGUCACUUAUAGAUGGAUCCGCGCUGCAUUAGCUAGUUGGUAAGGUAACGGCUUACCAAGGCAACGAUGCAUAGCCGACCUGAGAGGGUGAUCGGCCACACUGGAACUGAGACACGGUCCAGACUCCUACGGGAGGCAGCAGUAGGGAAUCUUCGGCAAAGGGCGAAAGCCUGACGGAGCAACACCGCGUGAGUGAUGAAGGUCUUCGGAUCGUAAAACUCUGUUAUUAGGGAAGAACAUAUGUGUAAGUAACUGUGCACAUCUUGACGGUACCUAAUCAGAAAGCCACGGCUAACUACGUG